rnacentral:rRNA from 1 species
UACAUAGGGGGCAAGCGUUAUCCGGAAUUAUUGGGUGUAAAGGGUGCGUAGACGGAGAAUUAAGUUAGUAGUGAAAUCCCCAGGCUUAACUUGGGAAUUGCUGCUAAGACUGGUUUUCUUGAGUACUGGAGAGGAAAGUGGAAUUCCUAGUGUAGCGGUGAAAUGCGUAGAUAUUAGGAGGAACACCAGUGGCGAAGGCGACUUUCUGGACAGAAACUGGCGUUGAGGCACGAAAGUGUGGGGAGCAAAC